UAUUUUAGGCGUGCUAUUAUUUACCCUGGGGGUAGUGUGGAGUCUAGAAAAUACAUGUGACGACAUAGAUGAUGACAUCUGUCGAACAUUUCAGGCUAAAGUCAGUGUCUGUGAAGACGCAUGUCUUUCAAAGUUGUGUCCCAGGACCUGCAAUAAGUGCCCAAGGAAAUGCUAUAGCUGUAAUGACGUCUCCUCGUUAGAUGAUUGCAAUACAACAAGUAUAUGUCCGGAUUUCACCUACGAUUGUUUAGUACAUGAAGGUAUAGCGUCUGACUUUACAAUUUCCUAUAAGCUUGGAUGUGCCACAAAG